UGGCGGCUGCUUGGAGAGUAACGUCGCCGGCCUUGCCUGAACUGUGCACAGAGAGGAAGCUCACAAGCUCACAGUCGUGUACACACACGCACACGCACGCACCAGUGCUCGCACACCGUGGGAAGAGAGCAGCGCACUAAGAAGUCAGGUCGCCUUCUCGGGACACCAAAGCGUUAGCUCUGUGGACAAGGAAGCACCGAGAUAGUCCGCAUCAGCGUGGAGAGGACACCUCAGCUGGGGACAUAUCGGAGACGCCUGCUCUAUCGGAUAGAGCUGGUGGUGGGUAGUAAGAGGGGUACUUUCUUCCAAGCGUCUUUGCUAAAUAUACACACACGCGCGCGCGCACACACACGCGCGCGCGCACACACAAACGCACGCCCUCUUAAGUGGAGUGAAUGCGGGGAGGGAUAGGGAAGGAGUUUAUAUUCCGUGCACCGCUCAAUCCGGAAAGUACAAAUACACACGCGAGCAGAUCAGCCGAUCGCCCACUCAGCGUGGGUGGUGGAUGACGACCCCGACUCAGGAUUCUGCAGGAAACAACUGAUGACAGAGGUGUCAUUAGGAACUUCAUGGAUAUUUAUGUGACUCGUUCAUUGCCAUUUGGAAACUCCUCACGCAGGAGUCAAGGAAACUCCAAUCCCACUUGAACUUCCCUGCUGAGAGACAGGAUUCUGAGAAAAGUAGGACCUCCUUUUCAAAUGCAAGUACACCUAUACACACACACAACACACACACACACACAUACACGAAGGAAGGAAGGAGAAAAGAAAUGAAGGAAGAGAGGAAGAAAAGAAGGAAAAAAAUGGAAGAGCCAGCUUUUCUCUGAAAGUCUUAGUAAUGUGCAUUUAGCCUGAUUUUCACCCUCUCCUCCCCUUUACUCUUUGUUUUUACUUCUAUUGUAUUGUGUGGCAGGGGCACUUUUCCCGUCCUAGGUUCUAGUCUUCAGAGACCUUCUCCAAGUCUUGGAUCUCCGCCCUCACCCAGAGAGAAGCUUGCAACUCAGGUUGAGCGGUGUCUCCAGCUGUCAUCCGCUCUUGGCCCCUGGGGUUUACACCUUCCUAAACCCAGAAACGUGGUUAAGAAUCCGACUGCCGAUGCAGGGGACA